CAAAUAUUUCACUAAGUUUUCUAUUGUAACCUAUAAUUUGUCAUUUCUAUUUAGAGGCCUUAAUGUUAACUUGUUUGUAGUCAUUUUAAACCGUACAGCGCCGCUGAGCCUGCAGGAGCUGUAUAAUAAUAAUAAUAAUAAUCUGCCCUAAGGAUUCGGUGCCUUGUUACAGGACGGAAGGUUCCCAGAUAUCUCCACCAUGAUACGUUAUCUGGAGUUUAUAUUGCAAGGUCACCUCCACCUGUCCCACACCCAUGUUCUAAGCCGG